CAGAAAAUAGUUUAAAUAAAAUACUGAUUUUGGGUAUCAAUGAUCUUAAUAUAAGUUUUCUGA
rnacentral:tRNA from 2 species